AAAAUCCUAGGAUCUCUUGUAUAUAUGUUUUAAGAUGGGGAGUAGGAAACAACAAUACAAUACCAUGCAUGCGAGACUACUCUCAUUAGGAGUACCAUUCUCAUUAAUUAUUGUGCUAUAUGUCAGUAAAUUGGAUGAUAUGAAAAGAGAAUAAUGAAGGGGUGUGUGGUACUAUUUCAAUUAUCAAAUGUGGUACAAUAAGAAAAAAAAGGAUGUUCUGGUUUAAAACCAAAUUUUCUAGUUUUCAUGUAUGAUUAUUACUAACUAUCAAGCACUCAUUAGACAGGGACCCAUUAGGAUAAGCACCCUCCGGGUUGUCCUAAACUUGGCAGAUUAGUUAGGGCAUUCCCCAAUACCAUCAAGAUAUAAGAAGAACAACAAUUAGGGUUGGAAAAGUUAGACAAAGGGAUAAAAGGUAUUAAUAAUAGAUAAAAAUAGAUUAAUUUUGUCGAUCGAUGUCUCUUCAAUCGGUCGUAACCCUUUAUAUUUAUAGGGUGGGAGGUCUUGCCCCAUUAGAAGUUCAACUUAUAUUAAAAAAAUCCAUCGAAAACUGAGCCAAAACCUUCUAUACAACACUUAACUCAGAAUAUAUUCUGUUUUUCGGAUGUUCUAGUUUUAGCUUUGAAUGUUCUGAUUUUGGUCGUCAACAUGACCAUGUCUUUUUGGUAAAUUUUGUGUACCAAAAAAAUCUUUGGACCAAAACCAUCUAAGGACAAUGAUCAACAAAAGAUUGGCCAUAUUUGCUUCUACGGAAUUUUAUCGCCACGACACUUGAUCUUGCUCAAGGUGAUGUUGAAUUAACUUUCUUGGUCUAUAUUCCUU
rnacentral:lncRNA from 1 species